rnacentral:rRNA from 1 species
AGUGAACGCUGGCGGUAGGCCUAACACAUGCAAGUCGAACGGCAGCACAGUAAGAGCUUGCUCUUACGGGUGGCGAGUGGCGGACGGGUGAGGAAUACAUCGGAAUCUACUUUUUCGUGGGGGAUAACGUAGGGAAACUUACGCUAAUACCGCAUACGACCUACGGGUGAAAGCAUGGGAUCUUCGGACCUUGCGCGAUUGAAUGAGCCGAUGUCGGAUUAGCUAGUUGGCGGGGUAAAGGCCCACCAAGGCGACGAUCCGUAGCUGGUCUGAGAGGAUGAUCAGCCACACUGGAAAUGAGACACGGUCCAGACUCCUACGGGAGGCAGCAGUGGGGAAUAUUGGACAAUGGGCGAAAGCCUGAUCCAGCCAUACCGCGUGGGUGAAGAAGGCCUUCGGGUUGUAAAGCCCUUUUGUUGGGAAAGAAAAGCAGAAGGUUAAUACCCCGCUGUUCUGACGGUACCCAAAGAAUAAGCACCGGCUAACUUCGUG